UGGAAACAGAGACCAGGCAUGGAGAGAGUUUAACAGAAUGAGUAUCAGAGAUGUCAUUAUCUUAUAGCGCAUUGAUCGCCUCUCUUUUUCUCAAAAACCCAAAACCAGCGAAGCCCCUCUUUUUCUCACCUUCCUCCAUAACUCCUCAAGGUUGUGAUUGAGUGAACCGGAUAAAGCUUUCUCAUUGUUGCCCAUUCUUCUUCCCAACACCCACUCACCUCAAACCUGUUAUAUCUCCACCCUUGAGCUCCUUUUCCUCUCUGAUUAGACACGCUCUUGGAAAAUGUUCAUAUGCAAUCUCUGUUGGGUUGGUUCCAUAUCCAUAGUGAAUCAAUUAUCCUUAUUUUUCCCGAAAAAUGAGGGAAAGGGCAGGAAAAUAAUAAAAGACAAACACGUUACAGGGAAAGCUUUCCCACGUCACUUAUUUUCUUCCCCCCUACAUUGUAUUCUUCUUUUGAGUCUUGGGUCUUCAGCAUUCAAACAGAAAAUGAGGAAGCAUGGAUGGCAACUUCCUUACCAUCCUCUUCAGGUGGUAGCUGUUGCUGUAUUUCUGGCCUUGGCCUUUGCUUUCUAUGUGUUCUUUGCUCCUUCUGUUGGAAAUAAAGAUUUUUCAGUAUAUUGUGAUGGGCCUCUACGCUCCUCUUAUUACAAGUGUCUUCUUUAGCCUAUAUAUUUGGUGUGCAGCCGCUGAUCCUGCAGAUCCAGGAGUUUUUAGAUCAAAGAAAUAUCUCAAGAUUCCAGCCAAUGAAAAGCAUACUAGAAGAAAAGAUUCUAAACUAUCAACAUCAUCAAUGCGAGAUGCUAAUACUGUAACAGUUGUAGGCAAACUUCUGGAUAAGGAUGUUCUGGGCAAAGAAGCGACUUCAAAAAUGUCCACCAGUGAAUCAGUGAUAGUGGAAAGAAGAAUGCACCUGAAACUUCAUCUUGCAUCCUGUUGACUUGCUCUCCGUGUGCUUAUAUCUGCAAUUGCGCUAGUUCGAGUGAGGAAUCUUCUGUGCAACAAAUGAGUGAAGAAGGCAUGUUCUUUGCGGUUUGUAGUUGAGGUAUGUUCUGUAUUCUGUUCUAUAACAAGCAUGGGAAACUGGAAAGGACUCAUUGGGGCUGUCUUCAAUGGCAUUCAUUGAAGUUUGUUUUCAUUUAGGAGAUAUCCUAAUGAAAUUGAAAUUGGUUGUGUUUCAUGAUUGACUAAAUAUUUCUUUCCAAUUUUGUGUUCUUUAAAAUGACAAAAGCUUGAAUAAAAAAAUAACCUUGGCAUAUUCUCAAACUCAAAUGGCUUGCAUCCAUCCACUAGCCACUAGUUCAGCUAAGUGAUUCCUACGUCUAAAGUAUUGAUUUAUCUGAUUUGUGCUUCUAUUCUAGAACUAAUGAAAUCUAAUGUUAAACUUUGCAGACAGCGUGCACCCUUUUGGCUAUGAUUGCAGGCCCUGCCACUUUCACAACAUUUCUUUUUUCACAUCCCAGUCAACUUUUCUGUUAAAAAUAAUGACAUGGCAUGAGCAAAAUGUCUUCUCACACAAAUUUUUAAAAAACUAAAUCUCCUCUCCCUCCCUCUCUCUCUCUCUCUCUCUCU